AGAGUUUGAUCCUGGCUCAGGAUGAACGCUAGCUACAGGCUUAACACAUGCAAGUCGAGGGGCAGCAUGAACUUAGCUUGCUAAGUUUGAUGGCGACCGGCGCACGGGUGAGUAACACGUAUCCAACCUGCCGAUGACUCGGGGAUAGCCUUUCGAAAGAAAGAUUAAUACCCGAUGGCAUAAUUCUUCCGCAUGGUAGAACUAUUAAAGAAUUUCGGUCAUCGAUGGGGAUGCGUUCCAUUAGGUUGUUGGCGGGGUAACGGCCCACCAAGCCUUCGAUGGAUAGGGGUUCUGAGAGGAAGGUCCCCCACAUUGGAACUGAGACACGGUCCAAACUCCUACGGGAGGCAGCAGUGAGGAAUAUUGGUCAAUGGACGAGAGUCUGAACCAGCCAAGUAGCGUGAAGGAUGACUGCCCUAUGGGUUGUAAACUUCUUUUAUACGGGAAUAAAGUGAGGCACGUGUGCCUUUUUGUAUGUACCGUAUGAAUAAGGAUCGGCUAACUCCGUGCCAGCAGCCGCGGUAAUACGGAGGAUCCGAGCGUUAUCCGGAUUUAUUGGGUUUAAAGGGAGCGUAGGCGGACGCUUAAGUCAGUUGUGAAAGUUUGCGGCUCAACCGUAAAAUUGCAGUUGAUACUGGGUGUCUUGAGUACAGUAGAGGCAGGCGGAAUUCGUGGUGUAGCGGUGAAAUGCUUAGAUAUCACGAAGAACUCCGAUUGCGAAGGCAGCUUGCUGGACUGUAACUGACGCUGAUGCUCGAAAGUGUGGGUAUCAAACAGGAUUAGAUACCCUGGUAGUCCACACAGUAAACGAUGAAUACUCGCUGUUUGCGAUAUACAGUAAGCGGCCAAGCGAAAGCGUUAAGUAUUCCACCUGGGGAGUACGCCGGCAACGGUGAAACUCAAAGGAAUUGACGGGGGCCCGCACAAGCGGAGGAACAUGUGGUUUAA
rnacentral:rRNA from 1 species